GACGAACGCUGGCGGCGUGCUUAACACAUGCAAGUCGAACGGAAAGGCCCUGCUUUUGUGGGGUGCUCGAGUGGCGAACGGGUGAGUAACACGUGCGUAACCUGCCCUUGACUUUGGGAUAACUUCAGGAAACUGGGGCUACUACCGGAUAGGAGCUCCUGCUGCAUGAUGGGGGUUGGAAAGUGUCGGCGGUUGGGGAUGGACUCGAGGCUUAUCAGCUUGUUGGUGGGGUAGUGGAUUACCAAGGCUUUGACGGGUAGCCGGCCUUAGAGGGUGACCGGCCACAUUGGGACUGAGAGACGGCCCAGUAUGCAACCGGAGGCAGCGGUGGAGAAUAUUGCACAAUGGGCGGAAGCCUGAGGCAGCAACGCCGCGUGCGGGAUGACGGGCUUCGGGUUGUGAACCGCUUUCGCCUGUGACGAAGCGUGAGUGACGGUAAUGAGUAAAGAAGCACCGGCUAACUACGUG
rnacentral:rRNA from 1 species